UGUGCUAGAUUUCUUAUCUGAAACAGUAAUAUUUCAGUGACUGCUGCUUAUAUCACAGGUUAAUACACUCUACUGAUCCCUGAUGGGAGAAUCAUCACCUCUGCCAACAAAGAAGCCUGCUGGAUGUUUGUUUGCAGUCUGAUGAUGGGACAUCAUGCUCUGCAUCUUCAAAGUUUGUCUCUUGAUUAUUAUUCAUACACAGUAAUGUGAAGUAUGCUUAUAUCUACUAUAACUGAACCAACCUGGUGCUCUUCAUUUAUGGAGGCUGUUGAGUCUGAAUGUUGGAUGUUGUGUAUCUCAUGUUCUCUGGGCUUUGUUGUCCUCAGUCUUUUUGCAGGAUCAGAAAACAAAACCAGGAGACCUGUAAAUGUUUCUUCUCCAAUUGGAUGAUGAUAAGACUGUGACACGGGAUGCCACCUUUAGUCUUGUGAUGAAGCAAAGCUCAGGACGAAGUGUGAUUAAAUGGUACCCACAUGUGUGCUGCUGAGAAGGAUGUACAGGAGCACCUGCAGCCAAAUCCAAGCCUCCUCAGAGCAGAGCGGCAGUUUGUUCUCACAGAUGGUGACGGUGUGGAGAGACGGUGGUGCUUCCUCAGAAGAACUAGCAGAGUCACAAAGGACACGAGUCCAUCUCACCACCUUGACUUACUGACUGAUGCUCGUCUGCACUGCACAGAGGAAAUCAACUGAUCGAGGAGUGUUUCUGGGUGAGGGAGAGAGGAGUCAUCAUCCAGGUAAAGUGACGUGGAUCAGUGGAUACACUUGUCUCCCCUUUAAAGGAGAUACUCUUAGAGAGAGACGAUCCAAGUCAUCCCUAAAUGUUAGUGCUUUCAAAUACACAAACAUUUUUAAAGGACAAAAACGAACAUCCAACU